AGAAUCAACGCUGGCGGCGUGCCUAACACAUGCAAGUCGAACGAGAAAGUGGAGCAAUCCAUGAGUAAAGUGGCGCACGGGUGAGUAACACGUGACUAACCUACCCUUGAGUGGGGGAUAACCUAGAGAAAUCUGGGCUAAUACCGCAUAAUACCUUCGGGUCAAAGGAGCAAUUCGCUUAAGGAGGGGGUCGCGGCCGAUUAGUUAGUUGGCGGGGUAAUGGCCCACCAAGACUAUGAUCGGUAUCCGGCCUGAGAGGGCGCACGGACACACUGGAACUGAAACACGGUCCAGACUCCUACGGGAGGCAGCAGUGGGGAAUUUUGCGCAAUGGGGGAAACCCUGACGCAGCAACGCCGCGUGGAGGAUGAAGUCCCUUGGGACGUAAACUCCUUUCGAUCGGGACGAUAAUGACGGUACCGAGAGAAGAAGCCCCGGCUAACUCGCGCCAGCAGCCGC
rnacentral:rRNA from 1 species